rnacentral:misc_RNA from 1 species
CCCUCCCCUAAAUCACUCCAAAAAAAACAAUCCCCAAUUCUACACAAGUGUUUCUACACUAACAAAGCAACAGCUCCUUAACGAAUUCCCAACUUUACACGAGCUCGUCUCUCGAGGUUAAAUGUUAUUACUUGGUAAGAUUCCGGACCUCGCCAAGUGUUUUGAAAACCCGCAACGCUCGCAAAGGUGCAUAGUGAGAAUAAUAAGUGAAGAGACAGACUUGUCCAAAACGCCCACCACGAAGGUGCAUAGUGAGAAGAGUAAGUCAAGAGAUAGACUUGUCCAAAAAGAAACGGAAGAGAAAGCUUGGGGAGACGCUCACGAAGGUGCAUAGUGAGAAGAGUAAGUCAAGAGAUAGACUUGUUCAAAAAGAAACAGAAGAGAAUGCUUGGGGUUACACUCACGAAGGUGCAUAGUGAGAAGAGUAAGUCAAGAGAUAGACUUGUUCAAAAGAAACAGAAGAGAAUGCUUGGGGUUACACUCACGAAGGUGCAUAGUGAGAAGAGUAAGUCAAGAGACAGACUUGUUCAAAAAGAAACAAAAGAGAAUGCUUGGGGAGAUAGAAGUGUGAGAUAGUUCUCAAGCUAAGAAAGUUGUAAAAGCUAAGAACUAGCAAGUAAUCGUCCAGGAUUCCUCCACCAGGACUUGAAAUCGUCGAGGGAAAAAAAUCGGUUCCGAGGAAUCGUCGAUCCGGACUUGGAAUCGUCGAGAAAAGUUUACCGGGUCCGAGGAUUUGUCGAC